rnacentral:rRNA from 1 species
UGGGGAAUAUUGCACAAUGGGCGCAAGCCUGAUGCAGCCAUGCCGCGUGUAUGAAGAAGGCCUUCGGGUUGUAAAGUACUUUCAGCGGGGAGGAAGGGAGUAAAGUUAAUACCUUUGCUCAUUGACGUUACCCGCAGAAGAAGCACCGGCUAACUCCGUGCCAGCAGCCGCGGUAAUACGGAGGGUGCAAGCGUUAAUCGGAAUUACUGGGCGGAAAGCGCACGCAGGCGGUUGAUUGAGUCAGAUGUGAAAUCCCCGGGCUUAACCCGGGAAUUGCAUCUGAUACUGGUCAGCUAGAGUCUUGUAGAGGGGGGUAGAAUUCCAUGUGUAGCGGUGAAAUGCGUAGAGAUGUGGAGGAAUACCGGUGGCGAAGGCGGCCCCCUGGACAAAGACUGACGCUCAGGUGCGAAAGCGUGGGGAGCAAACAGG